rnacentral:rRNA from 1 species
GAUGAACGCUAGCUACAGGCUUAACCCAUGCAAGUCGAGGGACCGGCGCACGGGUGAGUAACACGUAUCCAACCUGCCCUUUACUCGGGGGUAGCCUUUCGCAAGCACGAUUAAUACCCGAUAUAAAGGCUGGGGAUGCGUUCCAUUAGGUUGUUGGUGCGGUAACGGCCCACCAAGCCUUCGAUGGAUAGGGGUUCUGAGAGGAAGGUCCCCCACAUUGGAACUGAGAAACGGUCCAAACUCCGACGGGAGGCAGCAGUGAGGAAGAUUGGUCAAUGGGCGAUAGCCUGAACCAGCUAAGUAUCGUGAAGGAUGAAUGCUUAUGUGUCGUAAACUUCUUGUAUAUAAGAAUAUGUAUUAUAUGAAUAAGGAUCGGCUAACUCCGUGCCAGCAGCCGAGGUAAUUC